GACGAACGCUGGCGGCGUGCCUAAUACGUGCAAGUCGAGCGAAGUUUUUCUGGUGCUUGCACUAGAAAAACUUAGCGGCGAACGGGUGAGUAACACGUAAAGAACCUGCCUCAUAGACUGGGACAACUAUUGGAAACGAUAGCUAAUACCGGAUAACAGUAUUUCUCGCAUGAGAGAUAUUUAAAAGUUGGUUAUGCUAACACUAUGAGAUGGCUUUGCGGUGCAUUAGCUAGUUGGUGGGGUAAAGGCCCACCAAGGCGACGAUGCAUAGCCGACCUGAGAGGGAGAUCGGCCACACUGGGACUGAGACGCGGCCCAGACUCCUACGGGAGGCAGCAGUAGGGAAUCUUCCGCAAUGGGCGAAAGCCUGACGGAGCAACGCCGCGUGAGUGAAGAAGGAUUUCGGUUCGUAAAGCUCUGUUGUUAGGGAAGAAUGGAUAUGUAGUAACGAUACAUGUAAGAGACGGUACCUAACCAGAAAGCCACGGCUAACUACGUG
rnacentral:rRNA from 1 species